UGUUUUAGAGAAACAAGUCACCCUGGUUGGCCCUUUAACUAGCUGUGUAAGGUCAAAGGUAUUAGUGAUCCGUUUGAGGGUUUUCCUACAAAACUUGUCUUCAUAAUUAAUGUUAAAAUCUCCCAUUAAGAUUACCUCUUUCCCAAAGUCACAUUCCCUAAGCAUGUUAUUAAACUGAUCAAAAAACACACUUUUGGUGGAAGGUGGCCUAUACAUUCCAAUAAGGGUAAAAUACAUUUGGGGAGACAGUGUAACUUUCAGGCCAAUACAUUCUAGUUUAUUAUCACAUGACCACUCAAUUUGUUUACUUCGGAUAUGUUCUUUAAUGUAAAUCAUCACACCCCUCCUCUUCCUUCAAUCCUGUCUCUCCUGAAGACAUUGUAGCCAAUCACAAUCAAAGCAGCAUAUGGAGAGGUUUUAUGGAGCCAUGUCUCUGAGAGGCAGAGGAAGUCAAGGUUGGAGUCUGUGAGUGGAUGUUGAAUUUGGUCACUUUUUGGAAUGACACUACGAAUGUUCAAGUGCCCCCCUAGUGGUCCCUUGGGCAUAGCUCGUGGGUCCCAGAUGACUCGAGAGUGAUUGACACAUUGAAAAAAGUUACAUUUUCUGUGUUUUCUGAUGGCUGGGUUUAGGCCGUUUUGUUUCGUUUUGAUUAGGGGCAGUUCGGUAGCGCAAUUAACAAUCCCUCCCGCCUGCACUGGAUGCAGGGAACUAAUUAAAACAGCUUGGGUACCAGAAGUAGAGUCAGGAAUCGCAUAUCGCGACUUGGGUAUGUUUGAAGAGUCAAAAUCUAUCCUGGAGCCGGGUGAGUCGAGAGAAACCAUGGGACCAUAGCACUCACCCACUUCCACAGCGGCGACGAUCAGUGGACGAGGCCAUCAACCGCUUUUCACUCCGGAGGUGCCUGGAGUUGUGUGUGGGCGAGACCAGAGUGAGAGUGGACCUGCAACAGCCUCUGAGACCUUGGGCGCCUAAGAGCUGUGAUGGAGGAGAGUCGGAAGGUUCCUCUUAGCCCCGCAACCCUGCGGUUUAUCUCCCAGUUGCUGUCUUUCCAUAUUGACUCCAUCAACGUGAUGGUGUUUAACCUAGCCCUGUCAGAGUCUCUAUGGUACAUGACCACCUCAAGUAUUGACCUACUGCUCAACCAUCAGGGCAAAAGGUAUUAAACCUCCACACACUCUAAAGUCAUCUAAACAGAUCGGUCUUAUCUUAGCCUGUCUGUUUAAAUGUUCAUGAUUUUUCAUAUCAAUUUCUCAAACUUUCAUUACAGGUUGGCCUGGGACUUUUUCUGUGGGGCAGCUAAGCAGUAAAGUGCUUAAAAUCAGAGUGGAGUUUUUUCCCAUGUAAACAUAGCAGUCUUUUGAGUGUCUCUCUUUAAAUAAGUGUUACUUAACAGAAUGUAUUUCACUGCAUUGUCUCAACUCACUGCUCAGCAGGAUACAUGUCUGCCAGAGACGUCCCUGAGCCUGGUGCUGUCUGGGGAUGUCAGCCUACCAGAGCUGGGUCCAGGCCGAACGGCCCUGUGUGUGAGAACACUGCUGGCUGAGCUGCACAAAGGCUUGUUCCUCAGCCAGCUACUGCUUCCACCUCCUCCUCUGGAGAGCACUCUCUCUGCAGAUGAAUGUGGAAAGGACAAGUUUUUCCAGACUGAAGCAGUGGAGCAGUUUCAUCAGCUGGUGCCCCAGAAGGUCAGCGUGGAGUUUGAGAAUACUAGUAUAACCCUGUCCAUGCACAGCCAGAAAAGGUGAGUCAUAGGAC